rnacentral:rRNA from 1 species
UACGUAGGCAGCGAGCGUUGUUCGGAGUUACUGGGCGUAAAGGGUGUGUAGGCGGUUCUCUAAGUUUUGUGUGAAAUCUCCCGGCUCAACCGGGAGGGUGCGCCGAAAACUGGAGGGCUAGAGUGCGGGAAGGGAGAGUAGAAUUCCUGGUGUAGCGGUGAAAUGCGUAGAUAUCAGGAGGAAUACCGGUGGUGCAGACGGCUCUCUGGACCGCGACUGACGCUGAGACACGAAAGCGUGGGUAGCAAACAGG